UACGUAGGUGACCAGCGUUGUCCGGAUUUACUGGGCGUAAAGAGCGCGCAGGCGGUCGUUCAAGUCGAGUGUGAAAGCCCCCGGCUCAACUGGGGAGGGUCAUUCGAUACUGAUCGACUGGAAGGCAGGAGAGGGAAGCGGAAUUCCCGGUGUAGUGGUGAAAUUCGUAGAUAUCGGGAGGAACACCAGUGGCGAAGGCGGCGACCUGGGCCAAUAUUGACGCUGAGGUGCGAAAGCGUGGGGAGCAAACAGG
rnacentral:rRNA from 1 species